UACGUAGGGGGCAAGCGUUGUCCGGAAUCAUUGGGCGUAAAGAGCUCGUAGGUGGUCCGCUGCGUCCGCUGUGAAAUCCCAGGGCUUAACCCUGGGCUUGCAGUGGAUACGGGCAGACUAGAGGUAGGUAGGGGAGAAUGGAAUUCCCGGUGUAGCGGUGAAAUGCGCAGAUAUCGGGAGGAACACCGGUGGCGAAGGCGGUUCUCUGGGCCUUACCUGACACUGAGGAGCGAAAGCGUGGGGAGCGAACAGG
rnacentral:rRNA from 1 species